GACGGAGGAUGCAAGUGUUAUCCGGAAUCACUGGGCGUAAAGCGUCUGUAGGUGGUUCGAAAAGUCCACUGUUAAAAAUUGAGGCUUAACUUCAAAGAUGCCGUGGAAACUUUCAAACUAGAGUAUGGUAGGGGUAGAGGGAAUUUCCAGUGGAGCGGUGAAAUGCGUAGAUAUUGGAAAGACCACCGAUGGCGAAGGCAGCCAUCUGGACCGACACUGACGCUGAGGCGCGAAAGCGUGGGGAGCAAACAGGG
rnacentral:rRNA from 1 species